GCUGCAGCCGUUGCCUUUCUUAUUGCAAGAUAUUUUGCGCGUGAGCGGAUUCUCAGACUGGUGGAGGGAAACAAAAAGUUUCUGGCAUGGCCAUCGACAAAGCGAUCGGGGGAAUGGUUUUAGGGUUGUAACCCUUCUCCGGCCGAGCCCUUUGCUUCCAUUUUCUGUAUGGGUUGACGUCUGUUAAAUUCAUUCCGUAUGUGUUGUGAAGAUGAUGUCUAGAAUGCAAGCUAUUGGGGUGAGAUAUUAUAGAGAAUCAGAGAAGAAGAAGAAGAAUUUCUUCUGUUAAGACAUUUUAACAUAAGAGUUCCCCUGUUUUUUAUACAAAAAAGGGGAGCAAAACAAUACCUGCCUUUUAUUAAUUUAUUCAUUUAUAUUCUUUAACUUCUAACAACCUGAAUAUGUGUCAAAAGCUCUCUCUCAUUGACGCACCAGUACCACUUCAUUUUCACACUAUCAGCUUUAAUUCUUCCCCUCAAGCUAAUCGAGGUUAGUGAGACCAUGUGUAGCUUGCCUUUUAGUCUAUGAAAAUGUGAGGCUAAUAAGGCCUUUGUGAGUAUGUAUGAUGUUUGAUCUAGUGUUGAACUUGCAAUUUCUUUUCAAUGACUUUCUCUCACAAAUUAUAAAUCUUGUUCCAUGUGUUUGGUAUGGGAAUGUAAUACUGGAUUCACUGGUAAGGAUACUGUGCUAAAAUUGUCAUACCAUACUAGUGGCGGCUUCAUUUGUUGGACACCCAGAACUCCAAGAAGACUUUGUAACCACAUUAUAACCACAAUAUCUCUGCAGUUACAUGAGCUAAACUGCAAUACACAGCUUCUGUUGAAGACCUUGAAACAAUUUGUUAUUUGUUGAAGCUCCAAGACACCAAAUUCUACAGGAGCAUGGGAUGAGUUUUAAUUAGAGCAUUCAACUCAUUCACCAAUUCUACAGGAGUCGGUGCUAAUGGAUUUUGAAGGGAAGAAUUAUAAGAUAUAAAGCUAACAGUAGUUGGUAGCACGGGAGACUCGAGAGUGUUGUUGAAUGGACUAUCAUGCUGGGAUUGAGUAGAAGAUGAUAGAAUAGGUGCAGGGACUGGGGGUCCAACACAUGGAACGGAAUUGACAGGGGUGAAGUUGGACUAGACUAGGGUAAAGAUGAGGCACUAAAUUGAGUAAAUAGGAAGGAUUGCUCAUCAAAUUUAACAUGCCUGGAGAUGUAAAGUCUACCAUUGUGAGACAGGCACUUGUAACCUUUGUGAUGAUUGUUGUACCCAAGGAGUGUGCAAGGGGUUGAUCUAUAUUCAAGCUUAUUGGCAUUAUAGGGCUGAGAUAAGGAAAACAAGUACAGCCAGAUACUUUUAGUUCGGAUUAAUUUGGCUUGAUAUGAAAGAGAACUUUCAUCGGGCAAGUGUUGUUGAGCACUAGAGUUGGCAAGCGAUUGAUAAGAUAUGUUGCAAUGGCAAAGGAAUAGGCCCAGUAUUUCAGAGGUAGAGAUGCUUGACUUAAGAGUGUAAGACCCUGCUCAACAAUAUGUCUAUGUUUACAUUCAGCUACUCCAUUUUGUUCAGGAGUGUCAGGUUGGGAAAGUUGAUGAAUUAUGUCAAAGUUUUGUUAAGGAAUGAUAUUCUCCUCCCCAGUUAGUCCUCAUAUUUUUGAAGGGGUAGUUCAGAUGCAAUUCAACUUGUGUUUUGGUUUUGGAAUGCUUGAAACACCUCAAAUCUAGUUUUAAGAGAAUAAAUCCAGGUAAAGCGAGAAUAGGCAUUGAUUAAUGUAACAUGAUAUUUUAAAUCAAUUGUGGAAACUGAUGGUAAAGGGCCCCAAAGAGCAUAAUGCACAGGUUGUAGAGGUUUUGUGUACUGAGUUUCAGAAAUAGGGAAAGGGAGCUUAUGACUUCUACCCAAAUGACAAACAACACAAAACAGAAAAUUUUUAUUAUAUGACAAAACUUCAUUACAUCAAGAGAAAUAAUUUUAACAACCUUGGCAGUUGGAUGACUUAGUCUUUGAUAACACGGAACAAAAUUGUUCUGAUGUUGUUAGUUACAACUUGAUCAAAUGGAAUCUAAGCUAGAAACUGCAGAAUUAGCAAGUAUGGCAGAUAGGCUUGGUGGAAGCAAUGAUGGAAUUGGGACGGACUGAGGUUGUAACUAGUGAACUGAGCUGAUGUUUUGAGAAAGACAGCUUGAACCAAUACAAUCCAUUCUUAAGCAUCCCCUUAGAGUAAAAUUUGAUCCAUUCCCAAAGCCUUGACAAAACAGAGAGAGGGGUAAGUUCAAAAUACACCUGAUUAUCUCUUACAAAUUGAGAGAGCACUAAUUAGUUCUGAGGAACCUUUGAUAUAUUUCUAAGAAUGAGUGUUUUGGAAGAUGUGGGUGAAGAGAAAGUAGCUUGGCUAAUGUGAAGAAUGUUUAAACCUGCUCCAUUGCCCAUAUGCUGCUUGUUGUUGCCCUAAUAUUCAGUACGAAUGUUGAGAUUGUUGAAAUUAUUGGUGACACAAUUUGUAGCCCACAUGCUCCACUAGACAUGUCACUGGUCAUACCAGGUGCAGCAACCAUAGCUCUCAUUUGGUCUUUACCCUCCAUAGGAUUUAUGCCAUCUCCAGCAGUGUUACAGGAGGAAUUGUUGAGUCUAGUGAAAAAGGUAUCAAAAGACUUAUAGCUUUUUAUCACUGUAUGACCAAAUUUUCCGGAGUUGGCAUUUGAGGUUUAGAGCCACCACCAAAUUGUUCACCAUUGUUUCUACCUUUUCCUUUCCACUUAUUUCCUGGAUUGUUUUGAAAUUGAUUCCCUGAGUUGGGAUUGAAUUUCUUUUGUUUGUCCCUGAUAUACCAAGCUAGUAGACAUAACAUAUUCAGUAGUAGUAGUGUUAUGUUGUUUGAUUCUCUUCUCAUGAGCCAAUAAAAGAGCAGAGACAUCAGAAGAUUUGUAUAAAUCCAAAGGUGAAGUGAUCUGAACAAAUUCAGAUUCAUAUUCUUUAUCAAGUCCUGUAGUAACAGCCAGAAUCUGAUCAUGUUUGGAGAUGAUAUCUCCAACAGAGGCUAGUGAAUAAAUGAGAGUUUUCUUCUGAUUAAAUGAUAUUCCCUCAUUAUUAAACCUCCCUAUUGAAGUUUUUGCAGAUCAUAUUUAUAUUGCAUAAUAUGAGCUCCAUUUCGAACAGAAAAAUAAGAUGUUAAAACAUCCCAAAUGUCACAAGAGGUUUUACAGACUACAAGUUGUGGUAGAAUGCUCACCAAAAUUAAGCUGACCAAUCAGGAAACUAUCAACUUAUCUUGGUGAUUCUACAGAUCAAAAUCCGGGUUGCAUUUGAAUUGAGAGUUGUUGCUGGGAGUGGCUGAGACAAAUUCUGAUGGAUGCACGGGUAGAUCCAGUUGGGAAUCCCUCCAGGCCAAAACCUUCUACAGCAGCAAAGAUCUGCUGCUUCCACAAGAGAUAGUAAUUGUCAUCGAGCUUCAUUGCAAUAAGUUGGGUAGCUGCUUUGACUUUCGUCAUCGCCACUGGAACUGUUGCUGACUGUUGUUGCAAAAUACUUGAAUAGGUUGGUGGUGUUUGGGGAGAAUAUGCCAUUGUUGGAUUUCAAGCUCUCAGGAGCUCUGAUACCAUAUAGAGAAUUAGAGAAUAAAAAGAAUAAUUUCUGGUAAUUCUAUUCAAAAAUUUUUACACAGGAGUUCCCUUGUUUUUAUAUAGAGAAGGGAAGCAAAACAGUACAUGCCUUUUGUUUAUAUAUAUAAAUAUUUUUUGUUGCUUCAACUUCUAACAACCUGUAUGAGCUCUCUCUUGUUGACACACCAGUACCACCUCAUUGUCACACUAUCAGCUUCAAUAGUUGGUUGGGAAUGCUUCCUGGGACAUGGGCUUAUGUCAGUGCUGAUGCAUUUGGGCAAGCAAUCAUUCAAGAGAAUCAGAGUUUGGCUUACCUGGAGGAAAUGGCCAGUUAUUGACACUGGGCCUGGGACUCUUAGCAACAGCCCUGGCUGCAGCUUAUGUGACACGCCUAGCAAAGGAUGCUAUAAAAGAUACUGAAUAGAACCCUGUUCAAGGUUCUGCCUGCAAUUAUAGUCAAUGGGCGCCUCAAUAUCCUGUGACCUGUACCAUCAUUUACAUGAAUCGAGUAGGACCUCAUUGUUGGCAUCUUAACAGACAAGAUAUUUAACCCAGUUGAAUUCUUUAUCAAUGAAUGCUGUAUUUUUGUAUAAAUGAUGAGGAAAAUUGCUCUGGUUGGGACUGA